rnacentral:rRNA from 1 species
UACGAGGGGAGCUAGCGUUGUUCGGAAUUACUGGGCGUAAAGGGCGUGUAGGCGGUAUCAUAAGUCAGAUGUGAAAGCCCUAGGCUUAACCUAGGAGGUGCAUUUGAUACUGUGAAACUAGAGAUCGAGAGAGGAAAGUGGAAUUACGAGUGUAGAGGUGAAAUUCGUAGAUAUUCGUAAGAACACCAGUGGCGAAGGCGACUUUCUGGCUCGAUACUGACGCUAAGGCGCGAAAGCGUGGGGAGCAAACAGG